GUUCUUUAAUUGUGAACUAGUAUGAAGGGUUUGAUGAAGAAUAUUCUUUCUUUAUUUAAUUUUGUGAAUUUUAUUUUUAAGUUAAAAAGCUUAGAUUUUUUUAUUAGACGAUAAGACCCUAUAGAACUUUAUUGAUUUUUAUUUGUUAUAUUUUUAGUUUUUGUUUUUAUAAUAUUUAUUUGUUAAUUUUGUUGGGGUGACAUUUAAAUUUUUAUAACUUUAUUUUUUAGGUUUUCAUUUAUUAUUGUAUUUUUGAUCCAGUUUUAUUGAUUAUUAGAUUAAGUUACCUUAGGGAUAACAGCGUUAUUUUAUUGGAGAGCUCUUAUCGAUAAUAAAGUUUGCGACCUCGAUGUUGGAUUAA
rnacentral:rRNA from 1 species